AUCGCUUCUCGGCCUUUUGGCUAAGAUCAAGUGUAAUGUUCUUCAAGGUGUAUUUUUAAAAUAGAAGAUUUUAUUAUUCAUAAAACUAAUGUAUACAGCCAGCUGUUUAUAUCCAAGAAUUUAACCAGCUGUGAAUCAAGAACACUGAAGGGAAAAAACUUGUGUCUGUACUGCACAUGUCCAGACAUUUUCUUU